rnacentral:lncRNA from 1 species
AAAAAAAAAAAAAAAAAGGAAAGCCUUGGCUAGGGCUGUGAACAGCUGCCCAUGACAAAAAUACUUCAGUGUCCAGUUUUGUUUAUCAAUAACACAUGAAGGAAAUAGGAGAAAUACAUUAGGCCAGGCCUAGAAUGAAACAGGUCUUCUAGGCUUGUAGUCUGCCCUUCUUGUGUUCUGUCUUCGAACAUUCAUUUAUUCGGCACAUCUUGUCUGUGCCCUACCACGUGCCAGGCACUGAAGAUUCAGCAGCUCAGGGCUACACGGGUCUUCCAUUCUGUUGACAUCUCUUUGCCACUACCAAGAUGGAAAAUGUUGUGGUAUCACUUAUUUCCCCUUGCUCAUUAGUUGCCUGAUUAGACAUCAGAACCUCUGAGUUUCAGUCAAAGGGCUGUCUAGACUCGGAGCUUUAAGCCUUUUAAUUGUGAAAAUGACAUCACCAGUAAAGGGCCUGGCCUGGUGCUUGGCACACAGUAGACCGUCCAUAAAUGUCUGUUUUUUUGAGACCUUGGCAAAGAGGAGGAUUGAUGUGGGAGGUGGCGCAGAAGGUUAGAUUUUUGUCAUUUUAGAGAGAUCUGAGCUAGAUCAUUCAUUCAACAAAUAUCACUGUUGCACUAGGCUUUGAGAUAGAAGAGUGUGCAACGCACAGAUUAAGCCUCAAAGGGAUGAGGCAAGGUAUAAGAGAAACAGACUAGCAAACAGGCAAUUGCAACACAGUGUGAUAAGUGCUAGAAGGGGAAGUACAGGAUGUUUCUUAGCCACAAACAAGGGGCAACUAACCCAGGCUGGUGAGUGGGGGUGGGGGAAGCAUCAAGCAAGGCUUCCUGGAGGAAGUAGCAUAUGACCUGAGACUUGACGGAGACCUAGGCAUUAGGAAGGUAAAGUAUGGGGAAGGAGUGGGGAAGGGUGCAUAGUGUCCCAGGCACACGGAACAGUAUCUACAAAAGCUCAAAGGGGCUCAGAGAGGAUUGAAACUGAUAGUCUGGCUGGAGAGUCAUGUACAAGGGGAUGGAAGGCUGAGAGAUGAGGCUGGCAAGGUUCAGUUGUCGGCACUGGAGAAAUCACACCAAGAAGGGUGCAGAGACCCAUUGCAAGUGACUUGGGAAGAGGAAAACUCAGUCAUGGGCAGACACCCAGUUAAAUGGAAAGCAGAGUUAAAGGAGGACAGCGGGAAGAAUGAGAUCUUGAAAAAUCCAUCAGCAAUUUCGGGACGAUAACAUGUGCACAGAUGAUAUUUUUUAAAAACCUGGGAGAAAGGAGUCAGUGGGAGACACAAUUUGAGAGCUACUGUGGCACUCUGGGGACCAAACUAAAGUGUUUGCACCACAUGCUGGGGUAAUUCAAUCACUCAGCAAGCACUGUUUGAGCACCUGUGUUUCUCUGGCCACACUAGUCUCCCUGCUGUUCCUUGUCCUCACCAGGCAUGCUUCCCUACUCUGCCUUUAAUCUGCAGGGGGAUUAUCAUAGCUCAUUGUAACCUUGAACUCCUGGGCUCAAGCGAUUCUCCCAUUUCAGCCUCCCCAAUAGAUGGGACUACAGGCCUGCACCACCAUGCCAGGCUAUUUUUUUUUCUAUUUUGGUAUAGGUGGGGUCUCACUAUGUUGCCCAGGAGGUCACUAUCUCCUGGGCUCAAGCCAUCCUCCCGCCUUGGCCUCCCAAAGUGCUAGUAUUACAAAUGUGAGCCACCACACCCAUCCAGAGUUCCCCUUUUUUUUGAGGGCUUCCCCCUACUCAGUAGCACCAUUGUCUUAGGUCAUUUUCUGUUGCUGUAACAUAUACCACAGAUUGGGUAAUUUAUAAAGAAAUUUAUUUCUUACAGUUCUGGAGGCUGUAAAGUCCACAUCUGGUGAGGGCCUUUUUGCUGGUGGGAACUCUCUGAAGAGUCCCCAGGUGGUGCAGAGCACCACAAGGUGAGGGGACUGAGUGUGUUAGCUCAGUUCUCUCAUCCUCAUCUUAUGAAGCUGCUAGUCCCAUUCCUGUAGCAACCCAUUAGUCCAUCAACCCAUGAAUCCAUGAAUGGAUUUAUCCAUUUAUGAGGGCAGAGCUCUCAUGACCCAAUCACCUCUUAAAGGCCCCAACUCUGAAUAUUGCUACAUUGGGGGUUGAACUUCAACAUAAGUUUUGGAGGGGACAAAUAUCCAAGCCCUAGCAACCAUUUAGCAAAUGCGUAAACAAGCUGCAAUUGUGGUGACAAGAGAAGGCACAUCACCCUGGAAAGGACCCUGUCUCAUUUUUCUUUGUUUUUAUUUUUUAUUUUUAUUAAGAUUAUUUUUUAGAGAUGUGGUCUCUCCAUGUUGCCCAGGCUGGCCUUGAACUCCUAGCCUCAAGUGAUCCUCCUGCCUUAGCCUCCCAAAGUGCUGGGAUUACAGGUGUGAGCCACCAAGUCCAGUUUAUCUCAUUCAUCAUUGUACCCCAGUGCUAGGCACAUAGUAAGCAUUGAGGAAAUGUUGAAUGAAUGAAUAUCAUUUUUAAGCACUGAGGAAACCUAUUUUUAAAAUAGUAAAUGUUAUUAUCACAACUUUGUAAAAAGUGCAUUUUAAAAUGUUUCUAAAAUCCACUAAUAAAUACCAACAGUAAGCCGGACAUGGUAGUGUGUCCGUAAUCCCAACUACUCAGGAAGCUGAGGCGAGGAGGAUCACUUCAGCUUAGGAGUUUAAGGCUGCAGUGAGCUGUGAUUGUGCCACUGCACCCCAGCCUGGCCAACAGAGCAAGACCCCGUCUUUAAAAAAAGUUGUAAAAAGAAAUACCAACAGCAGUUGAAUGGUGGAGUUCUGGGAAAUCUUUCGUUAUUUCCUUUUCUUUUCUCUUCCUUCCUUCCUUCCUUCCUUUCUCUUUCUUUCUUUCCUUUUUUUUUUUUUUUGACAGUGUCUUGCUGUCGCCCAGGCUGGAGUGCAGUAGUGCAAUCUUGGCUCGCUGCAACCUCUGCCUCCUGGGCUCAAGCACACCUCAACCUCCCUAGUAGCUGGGAUUCCAGGCGCAUGCCACCACGCCCAUCUAAUUUUUCUAUUUUUAGUAGAGAUGGGAUUUUGCCAUGUUGGCCAGGCUGGUCUUGAACUCCUGACCUCAAGUGAUCCACCUGCCUCGGCCUCCCAAAGUGCUGGGAUUACAGGCAUGAGCCACUGUACCUGGCCUUUUUCUUUCUUUUCUGUAUUUUUCCCAUUUUGUGUACUAUAGCAACAUUUUUAAUAAUGAAUAAAGUAUAUUUUAGUCCCAUCCACACCUUCCUUCCUCCCAAAAAAGGAAUUGUGAGAAUUACAAUUUACAACCUAAUAUUUUAAAAGUCUUGUGCCAUGUAAAGUGUAAAUGACGAAGACUGAGAAACCAUGACCUGAACUUUAUAAUGCAAUGAAAUAAAGUUUACCACACUCUGACGUGUCUGACAAUAUGCAUGAGGAUUGUGUAGCUGGGCAUGACCAACAAUUCUCAUAAAACACUGUGAUUGGUAUUACUUGAAACAGCCAAACUGGCCUCUGUCAGAUGCUUGGGGAAGGGAGGCGGGAACUGGAUGGGGUGUGUGUGGCUCUGUUGGCCUCAGAAGACCCCUGGAUCCAUAACCCAGGUAUGCCACUUUGCUGGCAGAGAAGGCCAGGACCUGGGAGCUCCGAGGACCUCCGGCUGACAGAUUUGCAGCCUCCAAGUGGGGCUGGUGCUGCACAGGCUUCACAAAGGAGCUUUUUACCACAACAGGAACGGCACGAACACCCCAAACUCUGCUUUCCUUCCCUUCCCAGCCUUCUAGAUAUGGAGAGUUCAUAAGGAUACUGCCUGAAAUGUCAUCAAUAAAAAUGUGUUGGGCAGCAGAACGAUUGCCUUUGAGAGGGCUAGAGGAGAGAAUAUUCAUUCACACAACAAAUGUUUAUUGAGAAUCUACUAUAUGCCAAGCAUAAGGGAGGUCCUGUGCAUACAUGGUGUCAUUUCCUUGCAUCAGCCUGAUGAAGAUGCUAUUAGACCCCACUAUACAGAUAAUGAAACAGGCUGGGAAAUGUUAAGUUAGUGACACUGAGUCACACAUUUAAGUAAGUGGUGGUAGUGGGGAGGGAGGUGGAAAGGGAGGGAGGAGGGACUCAAACACAGCCCCAUCAGAGGUGGAGAGCCUCUCUUCCCACAUUGCGCAUUGCACAACAGCAGAGGUUUCCAGACUUCAUGCUUACAGCCUUUGUGACCAUCAGCAGCUACUCUGGGUCUCGGUCUCCUUGUUUAUAAAAAUAAAGUGCUUGAAUGGCUCACACCUGCAAUCCCAGCA